AAACGGUGGUGUAAGAGACCACCAGGAGGCCGGGUGACCGGCUUCGCUAGGUAAACCUCGUCCGGAGCAAGACCAGACAGAUGCCAUUGACGCUGCUCGCCGAGGCAUCGGGUAGGUUGCUAGAACUCCGCGGUAACGCGGCGUCGAGAAAGAUGACCGUCCACGACAGAACCCGGCGUAUCGGCCGGCCCCUCGU
rnacentral:RNase_P_RNA from 1 species